GGGGACAGGGACUGUAACCUCUAAUUCACCAUAUUAAAUACACUGUUUGGCACAUAGUUCCCUAUAAAUACAUGAUAAGUACACAUAGCUAAUAAUAAUAAUGAUAACAAUAAUUAUCACUAUAUGCAGUUUUUCAGGGGUUUCACUGAAUGUGUUAUAUACAUUAUCUCAUUUGAUCAUCUUAGUAAUAUAUAGUGAAGCCAUGAAUUAUAUCAUUAUCUCAUUUUAUUAGGGAAAAUAGUUUUAGAAAAUUUCAGUUACUCUCACCAAUUCAUACUAUCAAAGCCUGUAUUUUCAGGUCAAUACUCUUCUGUGCAUACCUAUAUCUUGAAAAUGUGGUUAGCAAGAUCAAGUGCACAAUAUCCAGACAUUCUACAAAUUGAGAAAUCUAGACUUUCUGCUGAUUGAGAUUCAGGUCCUCCUAAAUGAUGAUGACACACUGGCAGGCCAGUUCAAUGAGAACAUGUCCGGACACUGCAACAACUUUGUAUGUAACUGCAGCCCGUAAGGCUGUUCUCUAACUAAAGUGCCAUAGAAAUAAAGCCUAAAUUUCAUUUAUAAUUUUAAAACAACUUUCAAAAUCUGUGCUGUUAAGUAAAAAUGAAGCAUGAAGAAAUUCUUUUGAAGUCUAUAUAAUUCCCAAAGCAGCAACUGCAAGAGAUUUGCUUUUGUUUUCCAAGUGUUGGAUUUGAAACUUACUCAUAUUUCAGAACUACGCAUGAUAAUUCUUUGAUUGCGUGUUUGUGGUUAAACAUCUCCCUCACAUCCCACAAAACUUCAGCCAAGAGUUUAAUAGUUAGCAGAAGAAAAGUUUACUUCUAUCUGUAAAUACACUUGUGUAAAAUAUUUGGGAAAAUAUUAAAUAAGGAGUCAGGAAACUGAGGGGCUGGAUCUUCAUAGCCAAUAUGGUAGACAUGGUCUUCAGUGUCUAUUUACAUGUAAAUUUAAAUUAAAUAAAAAUAAAGACUGAGUUCCCCGGUUUCACUAGCAGCAGGUUAAGGUACAUGUUCUAUGCUACUGUAUGAGAAAGUGUAGAAGAAUGGAACAUUCCCAUUGCUGCAAUAAAUUCUACUGGGCAGCACUACUCUAAGCAAUGAUUCUCAAACGUUUUGGACUUAAGAUACAUUGAAACUCCUAAAAAGGACCAGUCUCUUAAAGAACCUCUUUCAAAAUAUGGAUAUCAUAUUCAUCGAUAUUUACUGUAAUAGAAAUUAAAACUGAGAAAAUUUAAAAUAGCAACUCGCAUUCCAUUAGCCAUCAACACACUGACAUUAUCACAUACAGAAAACUCUUGUGGAGAGUCAGGGUGAAAAAUACAAAUGACAUCUUAAUAUUAGGAAAAAUGUUUGACCUCACAGAUGCUCUGAAAUUGUCUGAGUCUCCAAGAUCCCCAGGCCACACUUUGAGAACCAUCCAUCUAGUCCCUACUCUUUUACUAAGUAGCUCCCUUGUUCCCUUUUCUUUCUAAAGGCACGUGGGGCUUAUUUUGUCCAGAGAUUCGGCCAAGUUUUAAACAUUUGGCAAUGUAAAAUAAAACAAUCUUAGUUCUUUACCAAACCUUCACUUUGCAAGGGAGGGAAGUAAAGGCUCUCAGAGUCUACUUUGACUGAAUUGAAGCUUCAUGCAUUUGAAUUAGUUAGGGGAGGCUUAGUAAUUUCUCUGUGGGCCUCAGUAGAUUUUUUCCCAAACAUGUAUAAAAAUCAUAGUGGCUAUGGCUGACAGGCCUAAGACAACCCCUUGAUGUUUAUACUUAAAAUCUCCCAGUAUCAUUUGUGCUUACCAUAGAGUCAGCAUGUUAGAAAGGAACUCUUAAAGAUCAUUAUGAUAAGUUCCAAAAAUAUCAAGAUCCCGAAUCAGAUAAUAUCACAUCAAAAUUAUUUCAGAAUAUUUGGUUUUGGACUAUGUAGUUACAGAAUGUUUUUAAUUGUUCCUAAAAUUGUAAAAACCUUCCAUGAUGCCAUGUGUUGAAUUUUCAGAGGAAAUACUUUCUCUUCAAUGUGUGUGUGUGUGUGUGUGUGUGGAGAGAGAGAGAGAGAGAGAGAGAGUAAAAUUGAGCUGCUGAGAAAGCAUAUUGAAAUAGUUUAACCAUAAAAGCAUUUGUAAUAAUAGCUUUCACAAAAAUGGUGCGAUUAUCAAGAAUAUAAGCAAUAAUAGUAAUAAUAAUAAGUGUUGGUAAGGAUGUAGGGAAAAAGGUACACUCAUACAUUGCUCGUGAGACUGCAAAUUGGUGCAAUCAAUGGCUCAUUUCUGGGAAUUUUUUAAUGUCCACCCUUGUAAUUAUCUGAAUUUAGAUGAGUUUAAUGAUAAAAAUUCCAGAACAAUUCCAUAACUUGUAUUGAUAUUUGUGACCCAUGUUGGCCCUUUACUAGAAUGGCCUUUUAUGUGAGUACAUGAUAUUGGAGACCCAUAAACAAAUGAACUAAGAAAGGCAGAAUCCUUGUGGCAGUGGCAAAAAGUAGACCCUACGUGGUAAGUUUCAUGUUCAAGGCCAAUAGUUACUUCUUCUUUCCUGGAGACUCUCUACUUACCAUUGCCAAGAGAGCUCACUGUCACGUCUCUUCACAGUGAAUGACCAAGUCCUGUUUUCUCCUUGUCUUUCUAAAUGAUAUCAGUUCACCCUUUAAACCUUUCAAAGAUGUUUUCUUGGUGAGCCAAGUGUAUAUCCUGAAAAAGAGUGACAUUCAAGAUCAACAAAGCAAGUUUCCUGAGUAAUGUUGGCUGGCUGGGCUGCUGGACUGACAAGUUUUUAUUUUCAUGUCUACCUCUUCUCAGUGCUUGAGCCAGGGCUCUGACUGAAAGCAAGGUUUGAAGAGGACCUUCUUCACAUGCAGCCUUAAGAGAAAGAAGUCAGGCUGGAGAUUCAAAAUAUCCUCACCUCUUCUCCUUUACAAGUCCAGACUUACAAAGACUCAGUAACGGACAUAAUUAUUCCAUCAUUGAUAUGGAGCUCAUAUGGUUACUUCUGGAACUUUGUUUUAGCAGUGUUUUACUCAUGAAAACAUCAUUAAUGUAUCAACAGUUAUGGUAUUGAGAACACACUAUGUUCGGUAUUUUAUGAUGGUUUGACCAACUAGAUUUGGAGAGAAAAGGGACAGGCUUUGUAAAAGAAGUUGCUUGCACUGAAAAAAAAAUUAUAUCACUGCAAAU
rnacentral:lncRNA from 1 species